rfam:Triticum aestivum genome assembly, contig: Triticum_aestivum_CS42_TGACv1_scaffold_640701_T_5BL-0.268691_3B-0.185496
UCCAUUGCCUAGUUGGUAGAGCACAAGGCUCUUAACCUUGUGGUCGUGGGUUCAAACCCUAUGAUGGAG